CCUCCGCCUAUAAAAAGGGGGGAUCCAGAUACGUUAUUCUCUAAGCUCAUUUUUUAUCUCAAAACUCUGCUAAAUUCUUCGUUCGAGCACUCCAUUCUUGUUGAGGCAGAGAACUGACUUGAGCGUCGGAGGAUCUUGCCGGAGCAACCCCACCUCCAGUUUAGACUUCCCUUGCAGGUCCCGACGGCGACCGCGGCUUCCCCG
rnacentral:lncRNA from 1 species